rnacentral:rRNA from 1 species
UACGGAGGGGGGCUAGCGUUGUUCGGAAUUACUGGGCGUAAAGGGCGCGUAGGCGGUUCGAUAAGUCAGCUGUGAAAACCAUGGGCUUAACUCAUGGCCUGCAGUUGAGACUGUCGGGCUGGAGUGUGGGAGAGGAGAGUGGAAUUCCUGGUGUAGCGGUGAAAUGCGUAGAUAUCAGGAGGAACACCGGUGGCGAAGGCGGCUCUCUGGACCACAACUGACGCUGAGGCGCGAAAAGCUAGGGGGAACAAACAGG